GACGAACGCUUGCGGCGUGCUUAACACAUGCAAGUCGAACGGAAAGGCCCUGCUUUUGUGGGGUGCUCGAGUGGCGAACGGGUGAGUAACACGUGAGUAACCUGCCAUUGACUUUGGGAUAACUUCAGGAAACUGGGGCUAAUACCGGAUAGGAGCUCCUGCUGCAUGGUGGGGGUUGGAAAGUUUCGGCGGUUGGGGAUGGACUCGCGGCUUAUCAGCUUGUUGGUGGGGUAGUGGCUUACCAAGGCUUUGACGGGUAGCCGGCCUGAGAGGGUGACCGGCCACAUUGGGACUGAGAUACGGCCCAGACUCCUACGGGAGGCAGCAGUGGGGAAUAUUGCACAAUGGGCGGAAGCCUGAUGCAGCAACGCCGCGUGCGGGAUGACGGCCUUCGGGUUGUAAACCGCUUUCGCCUGUGACGAAGCGUGAGUGACGGUAAUGGGUAAAGAAGCACCGGCUAACUACGUG
rnacentral:rRNA from 1 species